rnacentral:rRNA from 1 species
UCAAGAGGUUUGGGCAGGCUCAGAUUGAACGCUGGCGGCAGGCCUAACACAUGCAAGUCGAACGGUAGCACAGAGAGCUUGCUCUCGGGUGACGAGUGGCGGACGGGUGAGUAAUGUCUGGGAAACUGCCUGAUGGAGGGGGAUAACUACUGGAAACGGUAGCUAAUACCGCAUAAUGUCGCAAGACCAAAGAGGGGGACCUUCGGGCCUCUUGCCAUCAGAUGUGCCCAGAUGGGAUUAGCUAGUAGGUGGGGUAACGGCUCACCUAGGCGACGAUCCCUAGCUGGUCUGAGAGGAUGACCAGCCACACUGGAACUGAGACACGGUCCAGACUCCUACGGGAGGCAGCAGUGGGGAAUAUUGCACAAUGGGCGCAAGCCUGAUGCAGCCAUGCCGCGUGUAUGAAGAAGGCCUUCGGGUUGUAAAGUACUUUCAGCGGGGAGGAAGGUGUUGUGGUUAAUAACCGCAGCAAUUGACGUUACCCGCAGAAGAAGCACCGGCUAACUCCGUGCCAGCAGCCGCGGUAAUACGGAGGGUGCAAGCGUUAAUCGGAAUUACUGGGCGUAAAGCGCACGCAGGCGGUCUGUCAAGUCGGAUGUGAAAUCCCCGGGCUCAACCUGGGAACUGCAUCGAAACUGGCAGGCUGAGUACUUAGUGGA